rnacentral:rRNA from 1 species
GUCUACAGCCAUACCACCCUGACUGUGCUCAAUCUCCUCUGAUCUUGAAAGCUAAGCAGGGUUGGGCCUGGUUAGUACUUGGAUGGGAAGAAAUUUAGUCCAGCAUCAUGGCUGAUCUGAGCC